CUUAUUUUUUAAUUUCAUUUCAGCUGGACAGCUGAGCCAGUCAGCCCAUUUUGCUCUCCAGUUGCCAUACAAUGUGCUGGGCUUGGGGCGUAGUGCUAACUUCCUUGAUCAUUUGUAUGUUGGAAUUCCUCGUCCUUUAGGAGAAAAGUCUGUAAGAAAACAAGAAUGGACAGCUAUCAUACCAAACUCCCAGCUUAUAGUCAUCCCAUAUCCUCAUAAUGUUCCUCGAAGCUGGAGUGCCAAGCUGUAUCUGACCCCGAGUAACAUAGUGCUGCUAACGGCUAUAGCCUUAAUUGGUGUCUGUGUUUUUAUCCUGGCAAUAAUUGGCAUAUUACACUGGCAAGAAAAGAAAGCAGAUGACAGAGAGAAGCGACAGGAGGCUCAUCGGUUCCAUUUUGAUGCUAUGUGACAUGCCUUAAUAUUUAUGGAGGAGCUGCUGUUCGUUUGCUUAAUUGAAAUAUUAAAUUCUGGUUUGUAAAAUGAUUACUAUGGAGAAUACUGCUGGUGUGCUAUUUGUAAAUGUUGCAUUAUUUGGUAUUUAUUUGGAACGUAUUAAAAAUAGACCUGAAUGUCUCUUAAAGCCUUCCAGAAAAAACUAAAACAAAAACAAAAAAAACUGUAUAUAAUAGCAUUUGGUCUUUAUUUAACAGAAGUGUACAUUAAUUUUUCAUAGUAAAAGGGAUCAUUUUGCAUGUACCAUUGUUUACAUACCACCAGUUCUUUAGUAAUAUAUUUGAUAGAAAGCUGUGUAAAUAAAGUUUAGUAUUUUAGUGAGCAGAAUACUUUGUACCACUGACAUUGGUAUUGUUAUUUACACAUUCCUGCAAAGUAAACUCCAUUUCUGAAAAUUAAUCUUGAGCAGUUUCUCAGAUGACAUAAUCAUUAAUUGAUUGCUUAACCAAAAUAUUCUGUAUUUAAACAUUGUUUAAAUUCAUAUGUGCAAUUGCUAAAGAAUUUGGGACUUGGGGAACUAAAAGAAACCGUCAGUGUUGGUGCUAGUUCAGUACUUGUGGGAUAGAUGGGUAUUUAUGUGUUAGUUCUAGAAGGAUGAUGACACAUUAAAAAGAACUGAAGUAAUAAAAUGUAUCAACGUGA